GAUGAACGCUAGCGGCAGGCUUAACACAUGCAAGUCGAGGGGUAGAGGAAGCUUGCUUCCUUGAGACCGGCGCACGGGUGCGUAACGCGUAUACAAUCUACCUUUUACAGAGGGAUAGCCCAGAGAAAUUUGGAUUAAUACCUCAUAGUAUUUUCGGAUCGCAUGAUUUGAUUAUUAAAGUUCAACGGUAAAGAUGAGUAUGCGUCCAUUAGCUAGAUGGUAAGGUAACGGCUUACCAUGGCAAUGAUGGUAGGGGUCCGUGAGAGGGAGAUCCCCACACUGGUACUGAGACACGGACCAGAC
rnacentral:rRNA from 1 species